CGUUGUUGCAGUUAAAAAGCUCGUAGUUGAAUUGAAGUGAACUUGGGUUGAUGUGAUCUUCGGAUGACAUGAAUCAAAGUUGACUCUUUCCAAAGUCAAUACAUUGGUAUUCAUUUAUCUUUGUAUUGUGUUUGGUCAUUUACUGUGAGAAAAUUAGAGUGUUCAAAGCAGACGUUUGUUUGAAUACAUUAGCAUGGAAUAAUCAUAUAUGGCUUUCAUGUUGAUUUGAUUGGUUUGAAUAUGGAAGCAAGAUUAAAAGGGACAGUUGGGGGUAUUCAUAUUCAAUAGUCAGAGGUGAAAUUCUGGGAUUUAUGGAAGAUGAACAAGUGCGAAAGCAUUUACCAAGGAUGUUUUCA
rnacentral:rRNA from 1 species